AUUGACAGAUUUCACUGUAAAAAAGGCUGGUAAGCCCCACCGCUGUUGGUAGAAAACAGAAGCUGUGUUCCUAGAAUAUGCCCAGGAGAAAGCUUCACAUCUUUUGAUUGGUCAUUUCAAGACAGAUUGCUCAAGGAGUGCUUCAUGGAAAAACCAUUUGCUUUGCAGAGAAACCACCAGCACCAGUCACUGGAGUGCUUUAGCUCCACCUGCCUGUGUUUCCCCACUACAGAGAAGCUUUCCAGGAAAGGCAGAAGCUGAACAGAAGAUGAAUUCAAUGGCAUUUUUUCAUUUGUACUCCCAAGCAAUUAUAUACUGACUUGAAUAUUGAGGCAAUGUGUGACAAUCGUGACUAAUGUUAUUCUUCUCAUGUUCACAUUUUCAUGACUGAAGUUUAAGGAAAAACAAGCAAGGAAAGGAAUGGAACUAGCAGCACUAUCAGGUCUGACAUCCAUUUCAUCAUUUUGGCAAAAGUAGCACAAUUCUGCUGAUGCGUCUGGCUAAGGUAUGUAGGAAGUCCUGGUUCCAGUUCCAAGGAGCGGGUCUGAAUGCAGAGGAGAUGACUCUUAAAGAGAACAGUGAUGGGCAAGGCUGGGAGCAUAGAUAUUUGUAUAAUAAUAAUCAAGCAAUGGUCAACAAGCAGAAAUGGAAAUCUGAAGGUCUUGGAGAAGAAGGACUUGGAAAUACAAAGAAGAGGUGGUCCUUGAUUUAUUGUUAUAAUAGAACCUGAAAUCAUUGUUGUAAGUUGUGAAAAUUGGAUCAUCCAUGUGGUUGACCUGAUUUUAUGAUCUUUUUUUUGCAGCAGUCAUUAAACAAACAGUAUAGUCAUUAAGUGAACCAGUGAUUCACUAUGGGCUGGUUUUGCCAAAAAACAAAGCAACUGCUGGUUUUUGGCAAAAAAAAAUGUAAUAAAACCCAGCCACUUACUUACUGUGGGAUACUGCAAACAACUGUAAAUGCAGGUAGGCUGCUGAGAAAUGGAGAGGUGGAUAUUGGAACUUGAGAACCAGGCUGUAAGUAUACCAGGGAGGUCCACCAUAACUUCAAACAGACACUAAAUGACCAGUCGUACGUUAAGAAUUAACAAUAGCAAUAACAAUACCAUGUAGGCUAUUUACUAUAUACUAUUUAUAAACUACCCAUAGUGUUUUAUAGCAUUCUCUGGGCAGUUUUACAAUGUCAGCAUUAUUUGCAUAUUGCGCCCCAAAAUCUGGGUCCUCGUUUUAUCAAUCUCAGA